AUUACCGGACUCACAAAACCUAGCCACAGGUUCGGUCGGUGUGUCUGUCUGUGUUGGGGCGCGUAAGCCACCUCUCCCUCAUCCCGGUUGCUUGCCGAGCAGGGAGUGCUAGCGCACGGCUCAGGAACCAACAAAAGCCUCGGGGCUUAUAUUGACUCAACAAAAUUCU
rnacentral:ncRNA from 1 species